rnacentral:lncRNA from 1 species
AUUCUGUUCCUAGUUCUUUUGUCGCUAGUUCUAAUGACAUGACAUGCAUGCGGAAAUUUUGGCCAGAUCUUAGAAACUGAUUUAAUCUGGAAUUCGAUAACUAAAAAAAAUACUUUUGAGGAUGAAUAAAGAGUUGGAAUACUUUGGAACUAAGGUCGAGUAAAAUUCACCUUCAAAUCAUUGUGAAGAUCGAGCUUGAGGAUGUUUAAUCAAUUGAUGUUUGUUGGAAAGUUUGUCACUAAGGGAUGAAAAAAUGUCUUAUGACCACGACACACCAAGAAUACAGACAUGUUCGUCAAUGUUGUGAUCGCGAAAAGAUACCAUGUUUGACGUUCUUGAGGUUGGGAGACCCUUUUUCUGCUACCCAAACACUUUAUAUUCUUUGCUACCCCUUUUGAGCCUGUGUUAUUUUUUUUUGACUACCCUCUUUUUUAAUCAAGUUUAGAGUCAAAAAAAUGAUGAAAAAAAGAAGUUCACGCCCCAAGAGUACAAACUGGGGCAACUCUUAGAAGGCUCAAAAAAAAAGUCAAAGUUCCAUGUCCCUAGAAAAUAAAGGCUUGGGCAAUUUGUUUUGAAAAGAAAAAGAAAAAAAAAAGCAAAAAAAAAAGAAAGAAAAAAAAGAGAAAAAAAAAGAAAGAAAAGAUGAAAAAUAAUUAGGUCAGAUGUUUGAACUACGUUAGACCUGAUUCUUUUAAAAAGGAUAUGUAGGCAGCCUCACGGUUCGGUCCAACCAAAUAAGAAUUCAGAAAAGAGAAAAAAAAAUCCAAAACAAUCCCCUGUAUCUGAAACUUGGGCAAAGAUUUUGUUUUACUUUUGAAAGAAUUGAUUCCAAGUGUUGUAAGUCUACAACCCCCUUAUUUUGAGUCUACGUUGAGCCUUCAUGCCAACCCUUCUGCCCAACCCUAUCCAAAACACUCCCAAAUAAAGACCUCCCGAUAUGCCUUCAAGAACGCCAAGAAAAGCAUGCAAUGAGCAACGGUUGUCACGCGACAUAGAACACUAUCAAGUUGCCCACAUAAGAAAGCAACAGAAAGAAAAAGAAAAGAAAAAUGAGAGAUUCUUAUUAGUGAAAACCCUCACGGUCACAGUAAGACGACGGUAAGUAGAGAUGAAUAAAUGAGAGAGGCUUGUUGGUGAAAAACCCUCGGAGUACCACUAGUCGAUAGUGAGUCGUGAAGCUAAUGCAAAGGAUUGGCACGGAUAGGCCCAACUUCAAAGAUCAUAAGAAUGGUAAAAGGAAAGAUUUGGUCAGUUUGAUAGAUCGGCUGUUAAGUCCAAAAUGCAUGUCAUGAUCAUUAAGGCUAGUUAUUGAAAAAAAAAGAAAAAAAAUUCUUCCUUCUGUCCUUCCGACAGGGGCAUUUCUUGUUAAUACUUGUUUCUUUGCACCAUUGUGUCCUCCACUCUGAGUCAGUCCUUGUCAAAACAAGCAAGACAAGAUUUCAAAACUGCCACCAGCUUUUCAGUUGCACAAAGUGAAUUUGGCCAGCACACUCAGUUAUUACUGUCAACAUGCCUUGAGGAUUCAUGCAAAGGUUUUCCUUAAAGACUCUUGUCAGCCUACUUGGCGCAAGCAAAGAUAACUGGUGAUUCUCUCUGACAGACAAAUUGCUUAAAAGUAGGAAGUCAUUUAAGAUAUCGGAAAAGGUCACCUAAGCAAAGAUCUCCAAUUGGGAUAAGGCUAUUUGAGUUGCAAAUACAAAUGGUACUGGUGUUAAACAAUCAGAGUUGUUGCAGAACAAAGGUCUUUUGAGACCGACUUAAGCUGAUUGAGCAGAAGCCAAGCUGCCCAAGACUCAAGGCCACAAACCGACCACUAUUUUCAAAACUGACAAAUUUUUAUUUGUAUGAAACAAGAAUAAAGCGGUGCAAGGAAAGUGAUUCAAAAAGAGAAAAAAAAUGAAAAAAAAAACAACAACAGAAAAAAAGAGAAGAAAAAGAAAAGACGAGAAGAGCCGACAAAGGGAAGUUUCUCAACUCUUUGUCUUUAUUUGUCUUGCUAAUUAUGCAUAAAAUCUUGCCAUUGAUCUUCGCAUUUUUCCUCCUAGGAUAAAAGUCCUAGUCUGAUGGAUUUUUCUCCCAAUAUCUUAGUCUGAUGAAUCUUUCUCCUAAGAUAACAAAAAUAGACCUAAUCUGAUGAAUCUUCUCCUAGGAUCAAAAUCUUAGUCUGAUGAAUUUUUCUCCUAAGAUAAAAAUACCUAGUCUGAUGAACUUUCCCCUAAGAUCAAAAUCUUAGUCUGAUGAAUUUUUCUCUUAUGAUAGAAAACCUAGUCUGAUGAAUUUUCUACUAGGAUAGAAAUAUUAGUCUGAUGAAUCUUUCUCCUAAGAUAACAAAAAUAGACCUAGUCUGAUGAAUCUUCUCCUAGGAUCAAAAUCUUAGUCUAAUGAAUUUUUCUCCUAAGAUAAAAAUACCUAGUCUGAUGAACUUUCUCCUAGGAUCAAAAUCUUAGUCUGAUGAAUUUUUCUCCUAAGAUAGAAAACGUAGUCUGAUGAAUUUUCUCCUAGUAUCAAAUUCUUAGUCUGAUGAAUCUUUCUCCUAAGAUACCAAAAAAAAGAGAAAAAAGG